rnacentral:rRNA from 1 species
UACGAAGGGGGCUAGCGUUGCUCGGAAUUACUGGGCGUAAAGCGCACGUAGGCGGUCUUUUAAGUCAGGGGUGAAAUCCCGGAGCUCAACUCCAGAACUGCCUUUGAUACUGAAGAUCUUGAGUUCGGGGAGAGGUGAGUGGAACUGCGAGUGUAGAGGUGAAAUUCGUAGAUAUUCGCAAGAACACCAGUGGCGAAGGCGGCUCACUGGCCCGAUACUGACGCUGAGGCACGAAAGCGUGGGGAGCAAACAGG